GUGGGGAAUCUUGCGCAAUGGGCGAAAGCCUGACGCAGCGACGCCGCGUGGGGGAAGAAGGCCUUCGGGUUGUAAACCUCUUUCAGCAGGGACGAAGCCACUCGGGUUAAUAGCCCAGAGGGUGACGGUACCUGCAGAAGAAGCCCCGGCUAACUACGUGCCAGCAGCCGCGGUAAUACGUAGGGGGCAAGCGUUGUCCGGAUUUAUUGGGCGUAAAGAGCGUGUAGGCGGCCAGACAAGUCCGUUGUGAAAACUAGAGGCUUAACCUCUAGACGUCGAUGGAAACUGUUUGGCUAGAGUCCGGAAGAGGAGAAUGGAAUUCCUGGUGUAGCGGUGAAAUGCGCAGAUAUCAGGAAGAACACCCGUGGCUAAGGCGGUUCUCUAGUACGGUACUGACGCUGAGACGCGAAAGCGUGGGGAGCGAACAGGAUUAGAUACCCUAGUAGUCC
rnacentral:rRNA from 1 species